GGGGAGAUACCAAAGCGGCCAACUGGGGCAGACUGUAAAUCUGCUGAUUUUUAUCUUCACAGGUUCGAAUCCUGUUCUCCCCA
rnacentral:tRNA from 1 species